CAGGGCUGUCCAACCUGCGGCCCCCCCAGAUGUUGCUGAACUACAACUCCCAUGAUUCCCUGGCUAUCUAUUUAAUUGAAAGACUCAUGGGAGUUGUAGUUCAGCAACAUCUGGGGGGGCCGCAGGUUGGACAGGCCUG